rnacentral:rRNA from 1 species
UUCCAGCUCCAAUAGCGUAUAUUAAUGUUGCUGCAGUUAAAAAGCUCGUAGUUGGAUUUCUGGUAUGAUGCGCCUGGUCCGCCCCGUUUAGGUGUGUGAGUACCGGCGCGCGUCUGCCAUCCUUCUGGACUGCGUGUGUGCCGUUCAUUCGGUGUGCACGUGUUUGUCUAGAUCGUUUACUUUGAAAAAUUAGAGUGUUUCAAGCAGGCAUACUCGCUUUGAAUACAUUAGCAUGGAAUAAUAAGAUAGGACUUGGGUUCUAUUUUGUUGGUUUCUAGGACCGAAGUAAUGAUUGAUAGGGACAGUUGGGGGUGCUAGUAUUUCCACGGCCAGAGGUGAAAUUCUUGGAUUCGUGGAAGACUAACUAAUGCGAAAGCAUUCACCAAGGAUGUCUUCUUUAAUCAAGAACGAAAGUUGGGGGAUCGAAGAGGAUCAGAUACCCUCGUAGUCUCAACCAUAAACGAUGCCGACUCGGGAUGUGUGGACGUUG